AGUGCAAUUGCUGGGUCAUGUGGUAAGUCUAUGUUUAUUUAACUUUAUAAGAAAUUGCUAAACUGUUUCCCAAAGUGGCUACACCAUUUUGCAUUCCCACCAGCAAG
rnacentral:pre_miRNA from 1 species